UUAAUUUUGUUAAUUAUGUUGAAAUUCAUUUUCAAAAAUAUAUUAAAAUCAUUCGUUCAAAUAAUGGUCUUGAGUUUUAUGUUGUUUGCUUUUAUAAUCCAUAAUGCAUUUUAAAUCAUCAAUCAUGUAUUGAGACACUAAAAUAAAAUGGGGUUGUGAAAAAAAAACACCAAUAUAUUUUAAAUAGAAUAAAACUUAUUUUACUUCAAGUAGAAUUGACUUUAUCUUUUC
rnacentral:lncRNA from 1 species